AACGAACGCUGGCGGCAUGCCUAACACAUGCAAGUCGAACGAGACCUUCGGGUCUAGUGGCGCACGGGUGCGUAACGCGUGGGAACCUGCCCUUAGGUUCGGAAUAACUCCCCGAAAGGGGUGCUAAUACCGGAUAAUGUCUUCGGACCAAAGAUUUAUCGCCUUUGGAUGGGCCCGCGUUGGAUUAGCUAGUUGGUAGGGUAAAAGCCUACCAAGGCGACGAUCCAUAGCUGGUCUGAGAGGAUGAUCAGCCACACUGGGACUGAGACUCGGCCCAGACUCCUACGGGAGGCAGCAGUGGGGAAUAUUGGACAAUGGGCGAAAGCCUGAUCCAGCAAUGCCGCGUGAGUGAUGAAGGCCUUAGGGUUGUAAAGCUCUUUUACCCGGGAUGAUAAUGACAGUACCGGGAGAAUAAGCGCCGGCUAACUCCGUG
rnacentral:rRNA from 1 species